GGGUUGUGAGGUUAAGCGACUAAGCGUACACGGUGGAUGCCCUGGCAGUCAGAGGCGAUGAAGGACGUGCUAAUCUGCGAUAAGCGUCGGUGAGGUGAUAUGAACCGUUAUAACCGGCGAUUUCCGAAUGGGGAAACCCAGUGUGUUUCGACACACUAUCAUUAACUGAAUCCAUAGGUUAAUGAGGCGAACCGGGGGAACUGAAACAUCUAAGUACCCCGAGGAAAAGAAAUCAACCGAGAUUCCCCCAGUAGCGGCGAGCGAACGGGGAGGAGCCCAGAGCCUGAAUCAGUGUGUGUGUUAGUGGAAGCGUCUGGAAAGGCGCGCGAUACAGGGUGACAGCCCCGUACACAAAAAUGCACAUAUUGUGAGCUCGAUGAGUAGGGCGGGACACGUGGUAUCCUGUCUGAAUAUGGGGGGACCAUCCUCCAAGGCUAAAUACUCCUGACUGACCGAUAGUGAACCAGUACCGUGAGGGAAAGGCGAAAAGAACCCCGGCGAGGGGAGUGAAAAAGAACCUGAAACCGUGUACGUACAAGCAGUGGGAGCCUCUUAAUGGGGUGACUGCGUACCUUUUGUAUAAUGGGUCAGCGACUUAUAUUCUGUAGCAAGGUUAACCGAAUAGGGGAGCCGAAGGGAAACCGAGUCUUAACUGGGCGUUAAGUUGCAGGGUAUAGACCCGAAACCCGGUGAUCUAGCCAUGGGCAGGUUGAAGGUUGGGUAACACUAACUGGAGGACCGAACCGACUAAUGUUGAAAAAUUAGCGGAUGACUUGUGGCUGGGGGUGAAAGGCCAAUCAA
rnacentral:rRNA from 1 species